AUGGGGUGUAGCACGUCAAAAUGCAAAUUUGAAGAAGCACCCAAAGGUGCCAGGGCU
rnacentral:tRNA from 1 species